rnacentral:rRNA from 1 species
GACGAACACUGGCGGCGUGCUUAACACAUGCAAGUCGUACGGUAAGGCCCUUUCGGGGGUACACGAGUGGUGAACGGGUGAGUAACACGUGAGUAACCUGCCCACAACUUUGGGAUAACGCUAGGAAACUGGUGCUAAUACUGGAUAUGUGCUCCUGCUGCAUGGUGGGGGUUGGAAAGCUCCGGCGGUUGUGGAUGGACUCGCGGUCUAUCAGCUUGUUGGUGGGGUAGUGGCCUACCAAGGCGGCGACGGGUAGCCGGCCUGAGAGGGUGACCGGCCACAUUGGGACUGAGAUACGGCCCAGACUCCUACGGGAGGCAGCAGUGGGGAAUAUUGCACAAUGGGCGCAAGCCUGAUGCAGCAACGCCGCGUGCGGGAUGACGGCCUUCGGGUUGUAAACCGCUUUCAGCAGGGACGAAGCUUUUUGUGACGGUACCUGCAGAAGAAGCACCGGCUAACUACGUG